GUCCUUGUAGCUUAACACAUAAAGCAUAGCACUGAAGAUGCUAAGACGACACCAACAAAAAUGUCCAAGGACA
rnacentral:tRNA from 1 species